CAGAUCCGCUCUCAUUCGCUUAGGAAACAUCUUCAAUUAGGAAUUGUACGUGCUCCUAAUUGCGAAUUAUAAUCUUAUUUUUUUCGAAGAAAAUCGAACGUGUAACAUAUAAAAAUAUAUUUUAGUUUAUAAGCGAGUUGUAAAAACCAUAUAUUUUGUGUAUCAACAAAAUAAAUAAAACAAAAGCUAACAAUGGUGGAUGCCGAUGGAACUGGGUGCCCUGUCACAAAGGCAAUACCUACCGCCUGCGGUAAAGAAGUGGUUAUAAACGGUCUUUCUGGCCAUAUAGAUGGUGUUAUGCAGGACGGAAAAUGCAUGAAAGGUGCUAGGUCCCCGGAGGAGAGGGAGGCUAUGCUGACCGGCGAUGUGAAGCCGAUCCAGACGCGCGUUUACUGGAACCGGUUCGUCAUUCUGAUCGUGUUCAGCCUCUACUCCAUGGUGAACGCCUUUCAGUGGAUCCAGUACAGCAUUAUCGCCAACAUCUUCUGCUAUUUUUACCAAGUCUCCUACGAGCAAAUCGACUGGCUCUCGGUGGUCUAUAUGCUCGUCUACGUCCCCCUCAUCUUCCCCGCCGCCUGGCUGCUCGACAAGAAAGGCUUGCGGACUGUGGCGUUACUGGGCUCCGGCCUCAACUGCAUCGGAGCCUGGAUUAAGAUCGCCAGCGUGAGGCAAGACCUGUUCGGAGUGACCAUGUUCGCCCAGACGGUCUGCUCCAUCGCUCAGAUUUUUAUCCUUGGCCUGCCCUCUAGGGUAGCAUCAGUAUGGUUCGGGCCCAAGGAGGUGUCGACAGCGUGUGCUACCGCCGUCCUGGGCAAUCAGUUGGGUGUGGCUUUUGGAUUUCUUUUACCUCCAAUUUUGGUGCCUAAUACUAGAGACGAUCUUAACGUUAUGGCAAAAAAUAUAAGUAUAUUGUUCUAUGGGACAGCAGCAGUAGCCACAGUGCUCUUCUUCAUGGUUGUAGCAGUAUUCAAGGAAAAGCCUCCACUUCCUCCAAGUCAGUCUCAAGCUGUGCUUCUGGACACUCCUAAUGACUAUUCUUACAAACAGUCAAUUGUAAACUUGUUCAAGAAUGUUCCAUUUGUGCUACUACUACUAAGUUAUGGUAUUCUGACAGGCUCCUAUUACUCUGUAGGAACACUAUUAAAUCAGAUGAUCAUUACUUACUAUGAGGGUGAAGAAUUAAAUGCUGGCAGAAUUGGACUGACUUUAGUGGUAUCAGGGAUGGUAGGUUCCAUCAUCUCUGGUCUCUGGGUGGACCGUACAAAGACAUACAAGCAGACUACUCUCUCAGUCUACAUUAUCUCAUUUAUUGGAAUGCUCGUUUUCACCUUCACAUUAAAUCUUGGUUACAUCCAAAUUGUCUUUGUCACAGCAGGAGCCUUGGGUUUUUUCAUGACUGGUUAUCUUCCAUUGGGAUUUGAGUUUGGUGUAGAAAUAACUUACCCAGAACCAGAGGGGACAUCAUCUGGACUUCUCAAUGCAUCUGCACAGCUAUUUGGAAUUGUGUUCACACUGGCCCAAGGAAAGUUGAAAGCUGAUUACGGCACAUUAGCUGGAAAUCUUUUUCUUUGUUCUUGGAUCUUUGUGGGAAUCCUUCUUACAGGGCCCCAAGUCUCCACGUUAUCUUGCUCUGCGAACAUUCUACAAUGCAUUGAUAUCCUUUAUGUUUAAAAUCAUGUACAGUGUUCCCAGUGAGAUCAAAUCGUAAGUUACACUGGGCUCCGAUAACCUAUUUCAAUUUUGUUAUUUGAGCUACUUUCCAGAAGUUUGAUGUAGUAGCAGCUUUGCAUUAACUGAAUCCUUUUAGUGAAAAGUUGUUCUUCACCUAAAUUGCUUUCCGUCACUCAAUGCAUAUUCCUUUUGUAUGCAAGCAUGUGUUUCCUAUUCUAAUUUUCCAUCUGGUUUUUCUUCCACAAUCACUUUGAACUCACUUAGAUUUUUGGAAUGCUUUCCAUUUCCUUUACACUACUGAUCUGCCUAUUCCCUGGCAUUAUCAACAAAAUUUUAAAUCAUUUGCAAUAUCCUGCAUUCAGAUCAUUUUUAAAUAACAGGGAAGUCAAAGCAGCUGGCUCAAUAUCUCUGUUGAUGCCUCUCAGAUCAUCAUCACCGACUCCUGUUCUUAGCCAAUUUAUGUUCAUUUAGUGCAGUCAGACUCCUCUCCUGUUUAACUUUAUAAGAUGGCAUUUGAAGAUCCAAAUAAGCUUGACUGGACAUUACUUCUGUUAAUGUUAAUUGCAGCUCCACCUAAUUCAAUUCUUAUGGGACAUAACCUAUUGCUUUUAAAAAAAAUACAAUUACAGCUUAAUAUCUCAUUAAAAUAUUCAUGGAGCUGUUGGACAACUAGAUACAUCAGUUAGCAUCUUGUGGCUUGCUUUUUGGUCAUUCUAGUGUGCAUAGUUUAAUACCUUCAGUCGGUUAAUUACACCACUUUUAUUCCAAUUUUUUUAAUCAAUUUGAUUGUACUUAGAAUCUGUCCAGUACUUCCUUAAAUGAAGACUGAUAUGAAAUAUUAAUAUUGACAUCACUUCUUAACCUGUCUGCUAAACUUUUUCAUUUAAAAAACCUAACUGAUUUCUUAACAAUUGGGAGAGAACUUCUGAAUUUUCUUUGCGCCUGUCUCCAGUCGUCUUUUUCGUUCUUGUGGAAGUAUAGUUUUGAUUCCAUUUGUUUCUCCUUUCUCUUAAAAAAUAUUAUCAUCUUUAGCGCUCCCUGUUUACAGCAGGGGUUCCAGUAUGUUUCAUAGGAAUAAACUUAGUGCAAAGUUUCAUUUUUAACUUGCCCUCCUUACUCCAUUUUGGAAAUGUUUUAAUCUAACUUCGAAUCUAUACAGUUGUUCUUGGCAAAAGCUUAAUUUGCGUAUCAAAUCUACCUAUUCAGUGGCCACCGUAAAACCAGUCUUUAAUUGCUUUGUAGGUAAUUAGGCAUUUCUGAUGGAUUUCUGAAUGCUACACAUUUUAUAGACCAGCUGUAGUGCUUCUAUUGUAUUAAAUAAUAACUUUCUGCCCUCAUUAAACUGUUCACUCCUUCCUUUUUAAUUUUUCCUGGUUUGUCCACGUUGCUUCAAGGUGCCCAACUUUCUUAUGUUGAAUCUUUUAUUUACCUAAGCAUUUAAACAUCCUUGACUACUUUCUACUGAUAAGUGUUUUCCCCAAUUAUUCUGCUCCUGUUAAUUUCGACCUCAUUGGUUUUAUCUAUCAAUUGUUACAUUCAUUCUUAGCUGUUUUAUCAUUAAGCAGAAGCAAUUGUUUCCUGCCUAACUGCCAUUUGGAAAUCUUCCAUUAGAGUAGCUUUAUCUCUUGCUAAUUCUGUUUAGAUUGUGAUUUCAUAUAUUGCAUUUAUAUUAGCUGCAUUUCUAACCUCCUACUUUGAUUUUGGUUUGCUAAUGCACAUUUGUUUUCCCUAUCUGAUUUGUGGUUAUCAGUUUUUUUUCUCUCAAAAGUCAGUUCCAUUCAAUGCAUAAUUCAGUGAUUUAUUUGUUAUAUGGUAUCCUGCUUGUUUAUACCCUGGAUAUAGACACAAUACAAUUUGUACCUCCUCGCUUUUCUAAUAUUUCUAACUAUUUAUUUGCCCUGGACUUUCAAGAGACAUUUGGGUCACCCACAUUGCCUUUAUUGGAACAUCAGCUUGUCUUCCUGUGUCCUAUACCAUUGCUCCUGGAAAAUGAGGUGCUGCACUUUAUAAUCUCUCUCAAUUCACUUUUAUGCUUACCUCCAUACUGGGUUCCUGAUGAGAAUGGCAAUAAUCACCAGUGCCAUUAUAUCGUCUGCACCAUUUUGUUUAGAAAUGCUGCUAUUGAUUUCAUAAUGAGGAUACAUGCACUGUCUUUUGGCACAUUCACCUGAGGAAUUCGGUAGUUUCUACCUGCUGGAUAACUGCAGAAAAUUCUUUGAGGCUGUAAUUAUGUGGCCUUGAGUAACUUGCAGUUCUUUCAUCAUUUUACUUGUAGAUUUCAUUCAAGUAUGUAAUUUUUUUUAAAAUGUCUUUUUUCAUAACACAAUCUUAUACCUAGUAUGCUUCUUGCUUUUAUUUACUUUUUGUCACCUUUUUGAGCAAUAGGUACUCCUUAAGAAUAGUGUAUUUCAUCCACUUUUGAUUCUCUGGUAUCCCCGGGGGUUCUAUAUUCAGCUGCAUUUUAUUUUUGGAUUUCUUAAGUUCCAGUGUUGUCUGUCAGCAGCUUCAUUUUGAGAAUCCUUGCUGCUCUCAUUAGGCUUUUACUCGCACUGGAGAAAAGGCUGCAGCAAAUCUUGAACUUUUACAAACUCAAAUCUUGUAUACCUUCAAAGUUUGUUGAUUUAAAAAAAAAUUCAACUGACUGUAACUGUAAACAUUGUGCACACUCUCCACCCAAAGUAUUGUAUAUUCUUAACCAAUUUACCCAGUUUUUUUCCUAAUAAAUCGCAGAGCUCCUUUUACCAGCUGCUCCUCUCUCCAGCACAGGAAGUAUAUAGCCAGUUCAACAAACUACAGAAGGUUCAUACUCUAGUCUGUCCACCAUCUGAUGUGGAAAAGUGACAAUUUUUUUCCUCCAGCCACUAGACAUGGUAUGCAACUGUUGUUGUUACAGGUAAUGAAUCUGUGUAGGGGUAUGACUUAAUAGUGAAAUGUCUUUUUAUUAAAUCCUUUUCAUGUUAAAUAUGCACACUCAAACCUUUUGAGUUCUUCAUUGGGUGUUAAGGGCAGGUUGCAUAUGUUAUAUCUCUUAUGAGAUGCUUCUAACACAACUAUAAAAUCCAGUGGGUAACAUUAACUGCAUGAACCAUCUUUUGAUUAAACUUUAGUUUAAAGCAUAAACUUGAAAAGAAUGGAGCCACUGCACAACUGUCAUAACCUAAAUCUGCACACACUACUUAUCAGUUUUCAUAAAAUCAGACCUAAGAAGACAACAAGCAAACGUAGCUGUAACUGCGCAGCUUGCUGCUCGUGAUUCACUAGAAAAAGUUUCCACAUCGCAAAAUGAACUCCGUGCACCAGCAGAAACCGCAAU